CUGCAGCCAAUUAAGCCGGCCGUCCUCCUUGUGGGGGCCGGUGUGCAGUGGCUGCAAACAACAAGCCUGUGUUUGAUAGUGUAUGCAGCCUGUUGGUAUGUAUGGGCUACCCUAAGUGACCCUGGAGACAACC
ensembl:snoRNA SNORA70 Small nucleolar RNA SNORA70